GUGCUCACUUUGGCAGCACAUCUACCAAGUGCAAAUGAUGCAGAGAAGAUUAGCAUGAUCCCCAGGCAAUGAUGACGUACAAAUUCUGAAGUGUUUCCUAUUUUU
ensembl:snRNA U6 U6 spliceosomal RNA